rnacentral:rRNA from 1 species
UACAGAGGGUGCAAGCGUUGUUCGGAAUUACUGGGCGUAAAGGGCGCGUAGGCGGCUCGGCAAGUCAGGCGUGAAAUCCCGGGGCUCAACCCCGGAAGUGCGUUUGAAACUGCCAAGCUAGAGUGCAUUAGAGAAUGGCGGAAUUCCCAGUGGAGAGGUGAAAUUCGUAGAUAUUGGGAGGAACACCGGUGGCGAAGGCGGCCAUUUGGGAUGCAACUGACGCUGAGGCGCGAAAGCGUGGGUAGCAAACAGG